CUGAGUUACAACUCCCAACCAUUGUGAACCUACCUAUCGUUGCUUCGGCGGGCGAUGCCCCAGGCGCCUCGGCGCCCCCGGCCCUCAGGGGAGGCAGCCCGCCUAGGAACUUCAAACUAUGCAUUACAUUUGGCCUCUUCUGAGUAGCUUAUAAAAUAAGUCA
rnacentral:misc_RNA from 1 species